GCGCGGCCCGGUGCUGGUAGAGCACUGACCCCGAAGGGGAUUUAGCGGGAAGAGAGUGGCCGGGCUCUGGGGGUUUUGUCCGAGGGGGCCGGGAGAGGCCGAGACACAAGAAUAAGGAGCGGCCGCGGCAUGAAAGGCGGCGAGGAGAGGCAGCACUGCUGCUCUUGACUUCUGAGCAGGGCUUAGAGAGCCUGCCCCGGCUUAAGCCGAGCUGCUGGUGCUGACCCUGAGCGCCGAGUCCGCGAGCUCUGAGUCCGGAGCCUCCCAGCCGUGGAGCCGUGGGAUGAGGGGGGCGUUGGGGGACAGGGCAAAGUCGAUCUUGGUUGUACAGCCGCCCGAUCCUAGCGCGGAGCUGCGAGCCUGACCGGCCGCGUCUGGCAUGGUCAGAGAAAGAAUUUUCUUUUCCCAACUCCGGCUUUUGGUUUUGUGUGUCCACCUUGCGCAACUCCGGAGCCAGCCGACCCCACAUGGAUUCUCAACAGGUGGCCGGUGUCAACGCGCUAGAGAGGCCGUCUCACCUCCAAAGGUAUCUUCACUCCCGGAGGGCCCGGGCUCCCAGCCGCAGUCCCACACUGGGCCCGCGCGCCGGAUACGAGGAAAGUCUGGAGACUCACCAAGCUGAGGAGGAAGAAGGGAACAUCUCAACCCAAGCUGAAUUCUGAAGAACACUUGGCCCCAUCUUCCAGAAAUCCUAAAUCACAUAGAGGGAAAGUUUUGGCCAGGGCACCAAGAAUGAACCAGAAGCUGAGUCCAUUACUCCAAUUUUCACAUUAACCAGGAGACACAUUGAAAAUUCUUUUCUUGAGUGAGAGACUGAAAUUUUGGCUCAAGGGUGUUUCUGUUGGGUCUUCUCUUUAUAUGGCAUGUGAGGACUGCAUCCCACGUCACAUCUGCAGCCACUCCCAGAUUACACUGCAAGGGAGGGUAGAUUAGGAGUGGGUAGGGAGUAGAGGGGUCUGUAGACACAGCAAAAGCAGCAAGCUGGUGUGGGAAAACCCAGAAAAUAUGUCUCAGAGACAGCCAGUGGCUGCACAUACAAAAGGAAGGCACCUACCUGGAAGAGAAGGGGUUGUGAAGUUCUGCCCAGAGUCACAGCGCUGACGUCCUCAGAAGGUCUCCAGCCCUCUGCAGCAAUCUAUAGUAUGCAUCAGUAUGGUUGGAAAAGCUUCUUCUAUCAAGUUUAACAACUUUCUGGUGUAACUUCUGAGAGGGCUGAUUGCUUAUUCAUGCGGAAGCAAGACGCCCAGUUCAUUUUGCCCGUUUUUGCUACUCUUUGUUGGGUUUGGGAGGCUGUUAUGGUAGCUGCAAAUGGCUUCUCAAGUGACAUUUGCUGACAUUCAGUGAAGUACAUUUAUCAGUAUUCGCCAGCUCACCUCUACACAUGCAAUCCAUUUUGUUUUGUUCUUCAUAGCAAACUCCUUUCCGACACCCGUGCCCUGAAAAUGAUAAAUGGCAAGGUGGCAUAUUUCUGAAGCUGCACUCAAGUGUCACUGUGAAAAAUCUUUAAUGGACUAAGUGUAGCUUUUCAUGUUACAGCUUGUCAGGUACUGAGAAAUUCUAGAGUUUGUCUUUAAUCCUCAAGUCUUUGGAACCACACUUCUGCAAGCAGAGACUAAUUAUAAGCUGCACCACUCAGACCUGGGCAAGCAGAAACCAAGGAGAAAACAUUUGAUAUCAGCAAAUUCUUUAUUAUUAUUAUUAUUAUUAUUAUUAUUCUCAUUCCAUUUUUGCUCCUUCCUUUCCUACUCAAGAUAUUUGAGGCAUGAGCAAUCUGUGACUCUAAUUAAGGGGGUGACAGCCCCAACCAGGCCACCAUGCAGGCUUAUAAUCCACUCAUACACCCAGCUUUCUCCAUAAUGGCUUUAUUCUUUUCCUCCAAGGUUCAAAAUCACCAUGACUUCUCCCCCACAAAAAAAAAAAAAAAAAGAAAAAGAAAACUGACUCUGAAUCAUAAAUCCUGGCUCCCAAAUAUUGGCCAUAAUUGGGUAGGUGAGAUGUAUCUUGUAUGUCUGGGUGGAAGAGGCUCCUUUCUCCCUGGUGAUUCAUUUUCAGAACACACGGCCAUCCUUCCAAUGGCUUUGAGUUUCACGUCACCACCGGAAAGACCUGCCAGUUUCUUCCUGUUUG
rnacentral:lncRNA from 1 species